CUGAGAGUCAGAAGACCUGAGCUCUAGUUCCAGAAGAAAGAUCUUGGGGAAGUCAUUGCAGGAUCCACCAGGAAGAAAAAAGGAUGCUACUGGCCCAAGGAGAAUGUAGAAACCUGUGGUGUCAACUUGAACCCAACUUUACUACGUAGUGAAGCCCAGCUCCUUCCAGUCAAGUCCGAGGAGCCAUAGUUGGUCACCCAUGAGUAAGAAAAUGAGCGGCAGCUGCCAUAAGCCAAGAAAAAUAUGGUUGGUGUAA
rnacentral:lncRNA from 1 species